GGAACACAUGAGUGAGAAGGAUUAGGAUUUAGGAUGAUAAAAUCUCUGGAGCUCCACUAGCCAAAUGAAAUUGGUGGGAUUAAACGCCUCUGAAUUGUGAAGCUUGCAGUUGUUGUCCAGUGGUUGUGGAAGAGGAGAUGGUGUUCUUAAGUUGGGGUCGUCCAUCUUCAGAGCAGCAGCAACAAGUUCUCAACAAAACAGGAACCUUCAAUUAUGACAACAAGUACAGAGGAGCUUCGUCUAAAUCUAUAGCUAAACUUAAGGAAGACUCAGAGAUUGAUAAAGAUGGAUUCUUGAUCAAUCAUGCUCGUGUUUUAGUCGGUUCUGGUAAAGAGAGUUAUGAGAAGGGGAAAAAAGCUCUCCAGACUUGGAAGCAUUUUGGUAUGGGUUGGACAUUUGUUGAUCCUGCAACUCCAGUUGAAACCGGUAAGAAGUUUUGCAUCUGUGUGAAAGAAGUACUUCCAUGGGUGAUGCUUCCUCUUCAAGUUGUUUAUGUCGAUGAAAGCCGGAAAUCAAGAAAAGGCCCUGCGCAUUUCGGUUACGGGAGCGGCACUCUUCAGGGACAUUUACUGGCUGGAGAAGAACGGUUUUCAAUAGAGCUUGACGGUAAUGGUCAAGUUUGGUAUGAGAUAACGUCCUUCUCUAAGCCAGCUCAUUUCUUGUCGUUCCUUGGAUAUCCUUAUGUGAAGCUAAGGCAGAAGCACUUUGCUCGUCAUUCUUCUGAAGCAGUGCUCAAACAUCUCAAUGCUUCGUGAUGAUGAUAUGUCAAGUUGUAUUUUACGAUAAAAGUUGUUGCAUAUACGCUUUGUCUAUACCGUAAAAUGAAAGCUUAAAGGUGACGCAGAACUCAUACGUCACAACAUUCCCAACGUCGUUGUGUCACUGAGUAAGGAACGCGACCAGCAUUGACAUUAUCAUCCAAGGACGUUCUCAUCAAGGAGAGGAGACAAUCGACAAUGCAAAAUGGUUUUACCUUUUAGCUGCAAACCAUUUUGCAGCUUGAAGAGAGUUUAAGGUCUCUCUGUAUUUUUACUUAAGGGAGAAUAGUCGGAUGGCGAUCAAGGCGAUCCAUGACGAUUGAAAGAAAAUUCAUAUACAAUUUGUCUGAUUUGAUGUGGUUUAAUUAAAUGAUUUGCUACUCUUCAAUUAUACUGAGUCUUACAACUUCGGUUUA